GGGUAAUUUACAUAAAUUUAUACUAGAGUGAGUGAACCGUUAACAGAACUGUUCCUUGCGAUUGUAGCCACAGGCCUUGUGGGAUUGGAUCCCACGGAUGCAGAGGAAUUGGCUGUGUUCCUGGAUAAGAAUGAGCCGCAGGCCCAGUGGGAUGUAAUCCAGGUGAUACAGAGUAAUCGGCUGAUUCUCCGAAUGAAAGAUCCCUAGUAAUGUUACAAUGCUUUACAAG